CGUCCUCACACAUUCAUGUGAACCGAGUGUCUCGGCGGGACACAUUUGCAUUUUAAUGAAAAUCAGUUUAUAGACUUCUCCGCUGUGUUCGAGGCGCCACAAGUGGCCCCUUUAAGAGGCUAAUCCGGAUUAGGAGCGAUGCCGGAGCCGAUAGCGCAGCGAGAGGCGCGCGCGCGGGAUUAGGGAGGGACACGGGGGCGGCGCGCGCUGUCCCGGCGCUCAGGACGCGAGUGAACCUGCGCUCGGCGCUCUCUUCCUAGGCGAUGACAGUGAAAGGUGUAGGUUGAGAAGAGUCGGGGACCGAGGACUGAGCCCUGUGGAACACCUGUUCAAAGUGGCUGAGGGGAUGAUCAGGAGCCACACCAGACCACUUGGUUGUGGAGAAUGAGGACCGAGGAGCGGGAGGCCGCUCUAGCCGACUGGAGAGCAUCUGACACUGCGAGGAGAGCUGUCCCGGCGGAAUAUCAAGCGGUGAAUCCAGACUGCUGCCUGUCGAGGAGGUCAUUCUGGGUGAGAAAUGCAGACAGCUGAUCACAGGUUGUCCGUUGCAGAGUUUUUGACGGAAAAGGGAAGGAGGAGACUGGCCCGUAGUUUUGGACUGACUCAGGAUCCAAAGAAGGUUCCUUUACCAGAGGUGAAAUGAGGGCAGUUUUAAAGUGAGAUGGGGAGCAGCCAGAG